rnacentral:rRNA from 1 species
UGAGUAACACGUAGGUAAUGUACCUUUGGGGUGGGGAAUAACUUAGGGAAACUUAAGCUAAUACCGCAUAAUGCAGCGGCUCCUUAUGGAGACAGUUGUUAAAGAUUUAUCGCCUAAAGAGCAGCCUGCGGCAGAUUAGCUAGUUGGUAAGGUAAUGGCUUACCAAGGCUACGAUCUGUAACCGACCUGAGAGGGUGGUCGGUCACACUGACACUGAAUAACGGGUCAG